rnacentral:lncRNA from 1 species
GGCAAUGUUUUAAUGGACUAGAGUAUUCAUCACAAGCCAAGCUGUGGGGCAUUGCUACCAUCUGUUGGGAAAGAAUUCCUCCUGUGCUCUGGGCAAGCAGAGGUGGGAGGGCUGCCAGCCACUUUCCACUUGGCCCCGGGUGGGCAUCUAAGCCACUAACCCCACUCGGCAGGGGGUGGACAAUGGGCAGCCUCAGAUACCAGGGGCCUUGGGGCGACACCCUUGGCCCCCGGGGUUACAGGAGAGAGGGCUGAGGGAGAGGUUCCCACUCAGGAGAGAGUCCUUAGUCCGGCCCUUGACUGGAGCACAGGAAGGCCUUCCAUCGGGAGACUAGAAAUGGCUCAUUAGAAGAAAGCCUAUCCCAUCAUCCAAGCGUAGUGGGCCUUGAUGAACAGAGACAGUCUAUGAUUUUAGAGCUUUAUUGUAGAAAGGCGAGGG